GACGAACGCUGGCGGCGUGCCUAAUACAUGCAAGUAGAACGCACAGUUUAUACCGUAGCUUGCUACACCAUAGACUGUGAGUUGCGAACGGGUGAGUAACGCGUAGGUAACCUGCCUGGUAGCGGGGGAUAACUAUUGGAAACGAUAGCUAAUACCGCAUAAUAUUAAUUAUUGCAUGAUAAUUGAUUGAAAGAUGCAACUGCAUCACUACCAGAUGGACCUGCGUUGUAUUAGCUAGUAGGUGAGGUGACGGCUCACCUAGGCGACGAUACAUAGCCGACCUGAGAGGGUGAUCGGCCACACUGGGACUGAGACACGGCCCAGACUCCUACGGGAGGCAGCAGUAGGGAAUCUUCGGCAAUGGACGAAAGUCUGACCGAGCAACGCCGCGUGAGUGAAGAAGGUUUUCGGAUCGUAAAGCUCUGUUGUAAGAGAAGAACGGGUGUGAGAGUGGAAAGUUCACACUGUGACGGUAUCUUACCAGAAAGGGACGGCUAACUACGUG
rnacentral:rRNA from 1 species